rnacentral:tRNA from 1 species
CCGGGGGUAGCUCAACCUGGUAGAGCGGCCGGCUGUAGACCGGCAGGUUGGGGGUUCAAAUCCCUCCCCCCGGA